AGUGUCAUCUGUGAACUUGCUGAGGGUGCAAUCUGUCCCAUCAUCCAGUUCAUUAAUAAAGAUGUUGAACAAAACGGGCCCCAGGACCUACCCCUGGGAUACUCCAUUUUAUACCGGCUGCCAACUAGACUUCGAGCCAUUGAUCACUACCCGUUGAGCCCGGAGUCAAUGGAUAUGUGGCUAGAUUAUAUUAAGGACACAGUAAUAUCAGUGGCUAUACAACUAUAUCAAAAGAUAUAAAUGGAAAGAUUAAAAACAAAAUUUAAAUUUAAAACUGGGCCUGAUAAUCUGAAAGUACAAAAAGCUUGGUGUCUCAUGAAGUUGGGCUAAAAGUCUAUCUUAGAUGUAGGGGGCGUCAUGAGAAAGACUUAAUAGCAUACAAAUUAUCUAAUCUUUCUGCACACCUACUGAAACUUAACUUUGAGAUUUGUACUAGUACUUGGAGAAAGAUUAGUUAUUCUGCUCUUUGAAAGAACUUUUAAAAGCAACUUUGGAAAGAAUGCAGAUUUUUGUUUUCACAAUUGAUAAAUUUACAUGCCAGUCAUUUUGUGGAAAUCUUACAGCAGUUUGUCUCCUUGAAGAUAAUUGGAUGAAGAUUCACACCAAAAAAUUGCAACAGAUAUGAACCUCUCAGAAACUGCACCCUACAGAUGAUUUUACCAAAAGUUCCUGCUUUGGAUUAAGGUGGUUCACGCCAACUAAUGAGGUCCCUCUCUGUGGUCAUGCUACAAUGGCAUCAGCUGCUGUUAUUCCAUAUAAAAACUAAUGUAUAUUUAUAAAUUAUUUGAUACUGUGACUAAGUUUUGCAUAAUUUGUCAAAUGUUUCUGAUAUUAAAAAGC